rnacentral:tRNA from 1 species
AGAGACUUAGGUUAACAUUAAACCAGGAGCCUUCAAAGCUCACAAUGAAGGUUAAAAUCCUCCAGACUCUG